rnacentral:miRNA from 1 species
AUGGUCUUGAUGACCGGAAGGGAUUCCUUCCGGUCAUCGAGAUGACCGGAAGGGAUUCCUUCCGGUCAUCGAGACUGU